UACGGGGGGGGCAAGCGUUGUUCGGAAUUACUGGGCGUAAAGGGCUCGUAGGCGGCCAACUAAGUCGGAUGUGAAAUCCCCAGGCUCAACUUGGGAACUGCAUCCGAUACUGGAUGGCUUGAAUUCGGGAGAGGGAUGCAGAAUUCCAGGUGUAGCGGUGAAAUGCGUAGAUAUCUGGAGGAACACCGGUGGCGAAGGCGGCAUCCUGGACCAAUAUUGACGCUGAGGAGCGAAAGCCAGGGGAGCAAACGGG
rnacentral:rRNA from 1 species